UUUUUUUUUUUUUUUUUGAGACAGAGACUCACUCUGUUGCCCAGGCUGGAGUGUAGUGGCACGAUCUCAGCUCACUACAACCUCUGCCUCCCGGGUUCAAGGAAUUCUCUGCCUCAGCCUCCCAAGUAGCUGGAAUUACAGGUGCCUGCCAUCACACCUGGCUAAUUUUUGUAUUUUUAGUACAGAGGGGGUUUCACCAUCUUCGCUAGGCUGCUCCUGAACUCCUGACCUCCUGACCCACCCGUCUCGGCCUCCCAAAGUGCUGGGAUUACAGGUGUGCACCAUCACGCCUGGCCAGUUCCUGCAUUUUAUAAGGUGACUGAAGAUAAUGUAACUCAGAAAGGUGAAGUAACCUGUCCAAAAUGGGCAAGGGAAAAGCAGAGCCAGAUUUGAACUUAGGUGUUUUCCAUUUUUCUCACUGGGUCAUUCAACUACAGCUUUAAAUUCUUAUGUUUGGCCAUAUUCUAUCCUAUUUAAGUAAGAAACACUGUUGCUAUCAGAAAUGCUCCCAGCUAUUCAAAGCAAGGCUUGAAUACAGUCUAUUUUGUUACUAUGAAAAUCCAUAUACAUAAAUAUUAAAUAAUAGAACCUAAUACAGAUCCCAAACACGAAAGGUUAUUUUGUUACUGUAACUUACUAAACUGACUUAAAUCUAAUAAAAAUACUAUUUCUUCAUAGCAGUCAGGUAACCAUAGAAAACAUAUUUCACUAGUCUUGCAUAAAAAAUAUGCCUUAAAUGCAAACUGUGGAUUUAUACUUUAUCUGUUAAGGCUUCCAGCAAGUGGUGCAGACAGAGCCUACAAUUCCGUUCUCCGUGUAAAAUAAGUUACAGGUUUCAUAACUCUAGUUAUCUGGCAACUCUCAGUUCUUCCAAGUUUACUGUGGAUAGCAGACUGAAUAUAGUCAGAAGGCCCCAACAAAUAAAUGGGCAAUGGACAAUUCACAAAAUAUAAACAGUAUCUGGCUAACAAAUGUAGUUAAAAUAUUCCUGCUCCACUAGAAAUCAAGGAAAUAUACAAGGGUUAACCUACCAAAUUCAGGAAAAAGUGAUAGAAUUCAAACAAAGGUAAUGUAGUAACAUGCAAAACAUCAUUGGUCAAGUAUUGUCUGGUCCUACAUACUAUAUAGUCUGCAACGCUGGUUCUCUGUCAUUUGCUAUUUUAAUGAAGCAUUGUACACUUUACAGAAGAGCUUUAAAGUUUUAUGAUGUGUAAUUCUAAAUGUAGAAACAAAGUCUUCUGCACAAAUUAGAGAAAACUUAAAUGUCCAACAACAGGAAAAUGGUUAAAAAAAUGAUAGGUAAUCUACCCAAUGGAUCAUUAUGCAGCCACAAAAAUUCCACUUAGCACAGUCAAUAACACGAAAAACCCACCUGUUAUGUUGCUAAAUGAAAUGGCAAAGUACAAAGACAUCAUAUGAAAAAAGUGACUACAAAAUUCAAAAACAUGCAUUAACUUAAAAAAAUCUAUGUGGUAAGAAUGAGAGAGAGAGAGACAGAGAAAGAGACAGACAUGGACACUAUUCACCAAAAUGUUUUGUACUGGUAAAUUUUUAAAAUUCAACUUUACCAUAGUCUUCAAAUUUUUAUAUAUGAGAUAUAUUUCAAAAUAAUAAAAGCUAAAAAAUGGCUAUUUAAAAAAAAAAAAGGAUACUUCGGUAAGACAACUUAUCAAAAGAACAUUUAAAAUAAAAAAUAUUUUCAAUUUAACAUGGUAAUCUACAAUCAAAAAUGACAGGUUGAACUUUUAUUUUAAAAAGUC
rnacentral:lncRNA from 1 species